rnacentral:rRNA from 1 species
GUCCACGCCCUAAACGAUGCUGACUAGUUGUUCGGGAUUUACAUCCUGAGUAACGUAGCUAACGCGUGAAGUCAGCCGCCUGUGGAGUACGGUCGCAAGAUUAAAACUCAAAGGAAUUGACGGGGACCCCGCACAAGCGGUGGAUGAUGUGGAUUAAUUCGAUGCAACGCGAAAAACCUUACCUACCCUUGACAUGUCACUAACGAAGUAGAGAUACAUUAGGUGCUCGUAAGAGAAAGUGAACACAGGUGCUGCAUGGCUGUCGU